rnacentral:rRNA from 1 species
GAUGAACGCUGGCGGCGUGCCUAAUACAUGCAAGUCGAGCGAACAGACGAGAAGCUUGCUCCUUUGACGUUAGCGGCGGACGGGUGAGUGACACGUAGAUAACCUGCCUAUAAGACUGGGAUAGCGUCGGAAAACCGGAGCUCAUUACGUAUUAUAGUUUGAACCGCAUGGUUCCAUAGUGAAAGAUGGCUUUGCUCUCUCUUAUAACUGGACCUGCGCCGUAUUAGCUAGUUGGUAAGGUAACGGCUUACCAAGGCAACGAUACGUAGCCGACCUGAGAGGGUGAUCGGCCACACUGGAACUGAGACACGGUCCAGACUCCUACGGGAGGCAGCAGUAGGGAAUCUUCCGAAAUGGGCGAAAGCCUGACGGAGCACCGCCGCGUGAGUGAUGAAGGUCUUCGGAUCGUAAACCUCUGUUAUUAGGGAAGAACAAACGUGUAAGUAACUGUGCACGUCUUGACGGUACCUAAUCAGAAAGCCACGGCUAACUACGUG